rnacentral:rRNA from 1 species
AUUGAACGCUGGCGGCAGGCUUAACACAUGCAAGUCGAGCGGAGAGAGGUAGCUUGCUACUGAUCUUAGCGGCGGACGGGUGAGUAAUACUUAGGAAUCUGGCUAUUAGUGGGGGACAACAUUUCGAAAGGGAUGCUAAUACCGCAUACGUCCUACGGGAGAAAGCAGGGGAUCUUCGGACCUUGCGCUAAUAGAUGAGCCUAAGUCGGAUUAGCUAGUUGGUGGGGUAAAGGCCUACCAAGGCGACGAUCUGUAGCGGGUCUGAGAGGAUGAUCCGCCACACUGGGACUGAGACACGGCCCAGACUCCUACGGGAGGCAGCAGUGGGGAAUAUUGGACAAUGGGGGGAACCCUGAUCCAGCCAUGCCGCGUGUGUGAAGAAGGCCUUAUGGUUGUAAAGCACUUUAAGCGAGGAGGAGGGUACUGGUAUUAAUACUACCAGGUACUGGACGUUACUCGCAGAAUAAGCACCGGCUAACUCUGUGCCAGCCGCCGCCGUAACAC